rnacentral:piRNA from 1 species
UCUGCAACUAGAUGGUCCCAUCGUGAAGA